AACGAACGCUGGCGGCAUGCCUAACACAUGCCAGUCGAACGAGACCUUCGGGUCUAGUGGCGCACGGGUGCGUAACGCGUGGGAAUCUGCCCUUCGGUUGGGAAUAACUGAGAGAAAUUUCAGCUAAUACCUUAUAAUGUCUUCGGACCAAAGAUUUAUCGCCGAGGGAUGAGCCCGCGUAGGAUUAGGUAGUUGGUGGGGUAAUGGCCUACCAAGCCGACGAUCCUUAGCUGGUCUGAGAGGAUGAUCAGCCACACUGGGACUGAGACACGGCCCAGACUCCUACGGGAGGCAGCAGUGGGGAAUAUUGGACAAUGGGCGAAAGCCUGAUCCAGCAAUGCCGCGUGAGUGAUGAAGGCCUUAGGGUUGUAAAGCUCUUUUACCCGGGAUGAUAAUGACAGUACCGGGAGAAUAAGCGCCGGCUAACUCCGUG
rnacentral:rRNA from 1 species